AUCUUUACGUGUCUCUUCAGGGGAGCAGGCAGACCUGGUUUUGUGUUCUUUGACCCCAUGGGCCAGGCGCUGUGCUAGCGCACGCUCAACAUCAUGAAGAAACUUAGCGAUAAGAUUGCGGACAAGCUGCGAUUCUACCUCAGCAAGGCAGUCGAAGCCGGGAGGGAGCUGGACAGACAGAAUUACCACAACAAUUGGCGACGAGGAUGGGACGCUAACUCCGCUUACUGAUCGUUCCUGAGGAGACCGAGGUUAACUGCGCACAGGGGCACAUUCAGAUUAAGCGCAGCAUAAAGGGACCUGCCUCCGACUGGCAGGGAGCGUCAGGACUCCUGAGAAAACCCGCAAACCAGGCUGUCAUCAUGAGACACAGUGGAAAGAAUCCAGCUAGCUAAAUAAUUUACUGCAAAUUGAAUGUACAAAUGUGUAAGCUUGCCUUGCCGUGCAAUGCAGCGGAAGUAACAUAGCUAGCUAACUAUUUAACGGUAACUAACACACUUUUGUACAUCGCACUGGUCCGUGCAAUUGACCUUAUUUUAGCGCCCAAAAAACGUAAUACUUCCAGAUCAACUGUAAUAUCAAUACCAUUGUAAAGCACAAUUUCUCCCCUCUUUAACAAACCAAUGAUGAGGCCUUCAUGAUGCCCAUCUCUGCAUGAUUCAAGAAGGCAAUGAGCUCCGUCUGGUCUUUUUAAAAAUGGCAGGUGGGGAAGUGAAACCUACUGCGUGAUAGUGAAAGGGGAAACAUCUUUUUUCACCUGUCCAACUUAUCACCUUAUCACCUCUAAAAUGAAAAUAAAACACUGUGAAGAGGUUAUAUAACUUGUUAUUCCAUACCUAUUUGUAGGUUUGUGUCGAAUUUGAAUUGGGUUUUUAGGGCGGCGCUAAAGUUAACAGCGGCUUUUCAGAGUUAUGAUGGCUUGCAGUUAUGAUGCAAAAAAUUACUAAUGUUAUCCCCCUUACCCUGUCCCUUUCUUAUUUUUAAGCGGUGAGAUAAGCGCUACACCUGGUGGAGAGAGGCUGUAAGACACAGAAUUAGUUGGUUUACGUGUGCUGUACGUUACGUCAUGACACGACACAAUUUAAAGUACAGUGUCGGAGUGGUCCGUUUUUUCAACUUUCACUCCAAUACUAUUGAUCCAUUACCAUGUCAAUCAACGCAUGAAUAGAAACGUAGUUCACAUCCCAGAUUUUGAUGUCAACACAGUUGCUGCAGUCCCAUUAGUUUUCAUUGCAGCCUCGGUUGAAUGUCGUGGUUGCUCAAAUUUGUACGGAAUGGGGUUAGUCACCAUUACUUGCUUAUUGUGUAGUGGAGGAUUAGAAUAACUGUAUGCCUAUGGAUGUGUAGCUAGCUACAGUAUGUAGCCUAUCUGUGUAUGGACCCUAAAAUGUUAGGUUCUGAACUAAUAUUCAUACCAAUCUAUGAACCUCAGCUAUCAUAGUUGUUGCAUCAACUUCAAGUCUGAAUGGCAUUAAUGAAGCCUAUGGAUUGUGUUGAAUAUAAUAACUUUAUUGUGCCAAGGAUGCAAGUCCUAUAUACAUGUACUGUAGUUAUUACCACGCAUGAGAUCCCAACAUUGUAGCCUGUACAUUGAAUAUAUUCACUGAUCAUGUUCUCUUCCUUGGCAAUUAAAGGUGCAGUUCAGGUAUGAAUCUCUGUGAGACAUUAUUUUUCAGUCAUAUCCAAUACCAGGUGUAUCAAACUCCAUUCAUUGAAUGAUGCUGUGUCUGCAUGUAUGUAUUACAAUUAUACACUUCAACAAGUGUUUACCACUCCUGCACCUGGGGCAUCAAUGAUUACCCGUUGUAGCUAUGCACUAGAGAAUAAACGUGAUUUAAGUAAAGGCUGAUUUGUAAUUCAUAUAUACAGAAAUACACCUAUUCAUAUCUAACUCCCUUCAUCUGCAUUAAUCUGAUGACACAGGAUAGGUGUAGUAUUCCAAUGAGAUACCUAAUUUCAACCAGUGGAGAAUG